GAUAUUACUAAUACAGAUUAAAGUCUCUAGGAAAAAGCUAUUAGAUUCACGUGAACCCUUGAGUUACAAUAUUGUAGCUUCGCUUAUAUUUCUUACCUCCGUUUACAUAGAUAUCAGGUGGCAAACAGAAAUAACUAUAUGAAAAUAUUACUAUUACUAUUAUUAUUUGCUAGUUAAAAUGGAAAGAUAGCAACACACCAGGGGUGUAUUAAUGUAUGACACAAAUAUAUAUAGUAUUUAGUUAUAAAGCUAACGGCACAAGACAAACCUUAGAAUUGAACAUUGCUUUAUUGAGAUCAACUACUUUCACCUCAUCAGCAUUGUUCACACUUUCGAGACUCAGCGUACUCACAGAUAUUCCCUGUUGGACAAACAUCUUCAUUUCAUGGCAGUCAUGAAUUCUCAAUUCUCUGAGAAAUGGAAAUUCAGUAACACGCUUUGUCAAAAAGAAAUGCCUCAGCUUACGCAGUUCUUUAAGCUCCAACUUUUCCAAUAGGGGAAAUAAGGUCAUGAUUUCUUCUCCUUGUUGUUCCUCUUCUGUGAUCACUUCUUCCAUUGACACACAAUUGUGUAUUAAUAUUCUUCGUAGAUUCAGUGCACCCCGAGCCACUGAUGUUGACAUCAAGUUUCUCAAGUUUCCACAACUCGAUACAUACAAUAUUUCAAGUUUGCUGAAGUAGGCAGUUGGAAGUUGGUGAGAGCAUAGAGCAGUUAUGCUUUUAAGUGUCCAGAUGGUUAGAUCUUUCAAGUUGGGACAAGAAACCUGCAAACGUUGAAGUAUUAUAAAGCAAUUCAGAAUUUAAAAUUUAUAGAUAUCUCUAAUGAACUCAGGUUAAUAUCCAAUAACAAUCGCGUUUAUAAUCAAGAAAUUUCUAGAUAUUACUAAUACAAAUUAAAGUCUCUAGGCAAAAGCUAUUGAAUUCACGUGAACCUUUGAGUUACAAUAUUGUAAUUUCACCUAUAUUUCAUACCUCAGUCAACAUAGAUAUCAGGUGGCAACCAGAAAUAACUAUAUGAAAAGAUUACUAUUACUAUUAUUAUUUGCUAGUUAAAAUGGAAAGAUAGCACUAGACCAGGGGUGUAUUAAGGUAUGACACAAAUAUAUA
rnacentral:lncRNA from 1 species